AUAAAAGCCUCAACGUAUUGGGCCUUUGCACCAAGAAAAAUUGUGGUUACAUGCCCACACACGAAAGAUCUACAAGAUCCAACAAUCUUUGCCCUAAAUCAAAGAAAUUACUAGGCGCCCUAAAUUCAAAUCUUUCAUUACUUUCUUAAUCUCCAAAUUACUUUUUUCUUUUCCAAUCAAAUAUUUAUCCCCCAUUUCAUUCACAUGUUUAAUCUCAGAGAAGCAAUCCUCAAUCGAUUGCAUCUCAAUUCAAUUGCACAACGAUGCAAAUUAGGGUUUACAAACAUUAAUCACGCAAUUUCUCUUUUCAAUCAAAUGUUAUCGUUGGAUCCUUUACCUUCUGCAAUGGAUUUCAAUCAUCUCUUCAUCGCCAUCUCUAAAAUGAGACCUCAAAAGCAUCAUUCCGUCGUCAUUUCUCUCUCAAGGCAGCUGGAAUUAUCUGGGUUUCGACCCAAUAAGAAUUCACUGGGUAGUCUUACAAAUUGCUACUGUCAUUUGGGUCGGGUCGAUUUCGGGUUUUCGCUACUCGGUAAGCGUAUUAAGCUUGGGUAUGAGCCUGAUAUUGUGAUAUUUACUACCCUGAUCAAUGGCCUUAUUGAUGAAAAUUGUAAUAAUGUUGAUAAAGCUGUUAAAUUAUUGGAUAAAAUUGUUAAGCUUGGGAUUCAACCUAAUGUUGUUACUUAUGGUGUUAUUGUUUAAGGACUUUGUAGGAAAGGAAAUAAUGUGGGUGCUAUUAAUUUUCUCAGGAAAAUGAAAUCUGAGGGGGUUUGUAAGCCGGAUGUUGUCAUAUAUAGUACUAUCAUUGAUGGUCUUUGUAAAGAUAAUAUGAUGUCUCAAGCUAUUGAAUUGUUUGAUGAGAUGCAAAGAGAGGGGAUUUCGCCAAAUGUUGUCACUUAUAGUGCUUUAGUUCAAGGGUGUUGUAUCGGGGGAAAAUGAGAAAAUACCCGAGAAUUGUAUUUGUUUAGGAUCUUUGGGGCCAUUGAAAACAUAAUUGGGUAAUGUUUGAUUGAGAUGUUGGAGUAUAGGUUUCAAUGGGAUUGAAGUGAGGGCAAUAUUGUUUUUGCUAAGAAGGGGAUCACCCAUCAUGUGUUUAGAGACGUGUUGUCUUGUUAUGCUUGGGAUGUUGGAGCUUUAUUUGAUCAGUUGGAAUCUAUAUGUGUGGAAAAGGCCCAAGGAAUCGCUGGUAAAUUGCCAAAUUGGUAAUAGAUUUGACGGUCAAGGAGGAAGGUUGCGGAGCUGGUGAUGGGAUUUUGUACACAUUGUUUAGUAGAUAUUGCAAGAGGGUGUACACUUGUAUGGGGCUCAAGUGCGGUUAACAGAAUGCUUCAUAAAGAUGAGUUAUGUGGCAAUGCAUAAGUGCAAAACCAUAUAGAGCAGUUUUAUUUGGAAUGUCAGGGGUGAUGGAGUUCGCCUGUAUUGUUGCCUACAAAAUCCUAGUGUAUGGAAUUUGACUUCUUGUCCAUUGAAAGAAGCUGCAGCUGCCAAACGUUCCCUUGAUCUCCUACUGAAAGGAUAUUUAAAGGGAAGCAGGUGAUUUGAAAUUUUUCUCCAGUCUUGUGGAGGAAAGAAAUCACUUUUCUUGCAAGUGGAGUACAAUUGUUGUGCUAAAUUAAGGUAAGUGUAGAUAUAGUCACACGUAUGAUGUGUAUAUUCUAUGGUUUUGAUCGGAAAGAAAGAGCAAAGUGUGUAGUCGAAGUCAGCAGAGUUAUUCUACUUUAAAAGAGAAGACGAAAUCCUAUGAAGCUAGAAAGAGAAGAUGAUUUAUGAUGACUUAUAUCAAUGAUGCUUUGAAAAGAUUGGGCUAUACUAACUGAAUGCUCGAGGAAGAGAAGGGGACAAGGUUAUGAGACAAAGAGUCUUUGAUGUUUGCGGCCUUGUGCAUUGUAAUUUUUUUUUUUUACAAUAAUGUUUUGUAACUAGUUAGGGAGGAAUAAAAUGUUCAUUAAAUAAUUUGAAUUUUGAAAUGAAAUUAAGAAGUUCUUGCACAUCUAGGAUUUUAACAAAUGAUUUAAAGUCAAAUGAUUGUUAUAUACACUCGGGAUAACUGUACACCCAUGAGUAUUUUGUUCAUAUUUUGAUGAUGUUAUUCAUUAAAUCAUCAAAUAAAGAGCAAAAACUAACCUUGGGUUAGUUGUGUGUACUGUGCAUCCAGAAGUAUAUAACAAAUUCCAUAUUGUAAUAGUCUGAUCUUUUUAUUAAAAUAAAUUAGAGUUGGCAAAGUUGACAUGACACAGCAAGAAGACACAAAUCGGAUACGAAGAAGUCGGGUUAGUGUUUAGGGCUUACAACAUGUUUAAUUAAACUAGGCAACAUGAUGCGACACAUUUGAUUAAAUAGGUUGUGUUAUUGUUGAGAUUCCUCAUAGAAACUAACAACUCGACAACUUACUCAUAGAAACUAACAACUCGAUAACUUAAGAAAAAAAAAGCAUCAAUUUAUGAAAAUAAUGGCUCACAG